rnacentral:rRNA from 1 species
UACGUAGGGUGCAAGCGUUAAUCGGAAUUACUGGGCGUAAAGCGUGCGCAGGCGGUUAUGUAAGACAGUUGUGAAAUCCCCGGGCUCACCUGGGAACUGCAUCUGUGACUGCAUAGCUAGAGUACGGUAGAGGGGGAUGGAAUUCCGCGUGUAGCAGUGAAAUGCGUAGAUAUGCGGAGGAACACCGAUGGCGAAGGCAAUCCCCUGGACCUGUACUGACGCUCAUGCACGAAAGCGUGGGGAGCAAACAGG